GACGAACGCUGGCGGCGUGCUUAACACAUGCAAGUCGAGCGGUAAGGCCCUUUCGGGGGUACACGAGCGGCGAACGGGUGAGUAACACGUGGGUGACCUGCCUCUAGCUCUGGGAUAAGCCUGGGAAGCUGGGUCUAAUACCGGAUAUGACCUCGCGGUGCAUGUUGCGGGGUGGAAAGCCUUGUGCGGCUAGGGAUGGGCCCGCGGCCUAUCAGCUUGUUGGUGGGGUGANGGCCUACCGAGGCGACGACGGGUAGCCGGCCUGAGAGGGCGACCGGCCACACUGGGACUGAGACACGGCCCAGACUCCUACGGGAGGCAGCAGUGGGGAAUCUUGCGCAAUGGGCGAAAGCCUGACGCAGCGACGCCGCGUGAGGGAUGACGGCCUC
rnacentral:rRNA from 1 species